CAGCAGCCGCGGGAAUACAGAGGGUGCGAGCGUUAAUCGGAUUUACUGGGCGUAAAGCGUGCGUAGGCGGCUUCUUAAGUUGGAUGUGAAAUCCCUGAGCUUAACUUAGGAAUUGCAUUCGAUACUGGGAAGCUAGAGUAUGGGAGAGGAUGGUAGAAUUCCAGGUGUAGCGGUGAAAUGCGUAGAGAUCUGGAGGAAUACCGAUGGCGAAGGCAGCCAUCUGGCCUAAUACUGACGCUGAGGUACGAAAGCAUGGGGAGCAAACAGGAUUAGAUACCCCAGUAGUCCCUGUCUCUUAUAC
rnacentral:rRNA from 1 species